rnacentral:lncRNA from 1 species
GAAGCUGGUGGAUCACUUGAGACCAGGAGUUGGAGACCAGCCUGGGCAACAUGGCGAAACCCCUUCACUGAAAAUACAAACAUCAGCCAGAUGUGGUGGCAAGUGCCGGUAGACCCAGCUACUCACUCUGCAGGCUGAGGCUGCAGAAUCGCUUCAACCUGAGAGGGGGAUGUUGCAGUGAGCCCAGAUCGUGCCACUACACUCCAGCCUGGGCCACAGAGAGAGACUGUGUCUCAAAUAAAUAAAUACAUAAAUAAAAUAACUAUUGAACAAAAACAGAAUACUGAGUUACGAGAGAUGUAGACAUAGUAUAUACAGGGUCAGAAGAGUCUGUGCAGGGAAACAUCGAGAAGGCUCCAGAUCAAGGCUGCAUGCUGAACUUCUUGAACAUGGGAUCUGAUAUGAUUUGGCUGCGUCCCCACCCAAAUAUCAUCCUGAAUUCCCAUGUGUUGUGGGAGGGACCCGGUAGGAGGUAAUUGAAUCAUGACGGUAGGUCUUUCCCGUACUGUUCUCGUGAUAGCGAGCAAGUCUCACGAGAUCUGAUGGUUUUAAAAAGGGGAGUUUAAGUGCACGGGCUCUCUGCCUGCUGCCGUCCACGUAAGAUGAGAGUUGCUUCUCCUUGCCUUCCAUCCUGAUUGUGAAGCCUACCAAGCCAUGUGGAACUGUGCUUUCUAUUCAGAAAAGGAUAAAAUACCUUGGAGAGAAAUAAGAUGGAAGAGGGAAGAAUUUCAAUUUUGGAUUAUUAUUUUUAGCUGGACAAAUUGAGAGCAAAAAGUUCUCAAAUUUUAUGUGAAAGAAGAUUUAUGAGAUAUGAAUGAACUGCUGUCAUUAGAUACCGCCUUAUUA